GCGGCUGUAGCUCAACGGUAGAGCACCCGCCUGUCACGCGGGAGGUCGUGGGGUCAGCACCCAUCAGCCGCGCAA
rnacentral:tRNA from 1 species